rnacentral:rRNA from 1 species
UGGGGAAUAUUGGACAAUGGGGGGCAACCCUGAUCCAGCAAUGCCGCGUGUGUGAAGAAGGUCUUCGGAUUGUAAAGCACUUUCGACGGGGACGAUGAUGACGGUACCCGUAGAAGAAGCCCCGGCUAACUUCGUGCCAGCAGCCGCGGUAAUACGAAGGGGGCUAGCGUUGCUCGGAAUGACUGGGCGUAAAGGGCGUGUAGGCGGUUUACACAGUCAGAUGUGAAAUCCCCGGGCUUAACCUGGGAGCUGCAUUUGAUACGUGUAGACUAGAGUGUGAGAGAGGGUUGUGGAAUUCCCAGUGUAGAGGUGAAAUUCGUAGAUAUUGG